GGAGGCGUCGCAUAGCGGUCUAGUGCGCACGCUUGGAAAGCGUGUGAACCGAAAGGUUCCGAGAGUUCGAAUCUCUCCGGCUCCGCUA
rnacentral:tRNA from 1 species